GGGUUGUGAGGUUAAGCGACUAAGCGUACACGGUGGAUGCCCUGGCAGUCAGAGGCGAUGAAGGACGUGCUAAUCUGCGAAAAGCGCCGGCGAGGUGAUAUGAACCUUUGACCCGGCGAUGUCCGAAUGGGGAAACCCAGUGCAAUUCGUUGCACUAUCGUUAACUGAAUACAUAGGUUAACGAAGCGAACCGGGGGAACUGAAACAUCUAAGUACCCCGAGGAAAAGAAAUCAACCGAGAUUCCCCCAGUAGCGGCGAGCGAACGGGGAGCAGCCCAGAGUCUGAAUCAGCUUGUGUGUUAGUGGAAGCGUCUGGAAAGUCGCACGGUACAGGGUGACAGUCCCGUACACGAAAACACACAGGCUGUGAACUCGAAGAGUAGGGCGGGACACGUGGUAUCCUGUCUGAAUAUGGGGGGACCAUCCUCCAAGGCUAAAUACUCCUGACUGACCGAUAGUGAACCAGUACCGUGAGGGAAAGGCGAAAAGAACCCCGGCGAGGGGAGUGAAAAAGAACCUGAAACCGUGUACGUACAAGCAGUGGGAGCACCUUCGUGGUGUGACUGCGUACCUUUUGUAUAAUGGGUCAGCGACUUAUAUUCUGUAGCAAGGUUAACCGUAUAGGGGAGCCGAAGGGAAACCGAGUCUUAACUGGGCGUUAAGUUGCAGGGUAUAGACCCGAAACCCGGUGAUCUAGCCAUGGGCAGGUUGAAGGUUGGGUAACACUAACUGGAGGACCGAACCGACUAAUGUUGAAAAAUUAGCGGAUGACUUGUGGCUGGGGGUGAAAGGCCAAUCAAACCGGGAGAUAGCUGGUUCUCCCCGAAAGCUAUUUAGGUAGCGCCUCGUGAACUCAUCUUCGGGGGUAGAGCACUGUUUCGGCUAGGGGGCCAUCCCGGCUUACCAACCCGAUGCAAACUACGAAUACCGAAGAAUGUUAUCACGGGAGACACACGGCGGGUGCUAACGUCCGUCGUGAAGAGGGAAACAACCCAGACCGCCAGCUAAGGUCCCAAAGUCAUGGUUAAGUGGGAAACGAUGUGGGAAGGCACAGACAGCCAGGAUGUUGGCUUAGAAGCAGCCAUCAUUUAAAGAAAGCGUAAUAGCUCACUGGUCGAGUCGGCCUGCGCGGAAGAUGUAACGGGGCUAAACCAUGCACCGAAGCUGCGGCAGCGACACUUAGGUGUUGUUGGGUAGGGGAGCGUUCUGUAAGCCGUUGAAGGUGGCCUGUGAGGGUUGCUGGAGGUAUCAGAAGUGCGAAUGCUGACAUAAGUAACGAUAAAGCGGGUGAAAAGCCCGCUCGCCGGAAGACCAAGGGUUCCUGUCCAACGUUAAUCGGGGCAGGGUGAGUCGACCCCUAAGGCGAGGCCGAAAGGCGUAGUCGAUGGGAAACAGGUUAAUAUUCCUGUACUUGGUGUUACUGCGAAGGGGGGACGGAGAAGGCUAUGUUAGCCGGGCGACGGUUGUCCCGGUUUAAGCAUGUAGGCGGAACGAUUAGGUAAAUCCGGUCGUUUUUUAACGCUGAGGUGUGAUGACGAGGCACUACGGUGCUGAAGUAACAAAUGCCCUGCUUCCAGGAAAAGCCUCUAAGCAUCAGGUAACAUCAAAUCGUACCCCAAACCGACACAGGUGGUCAGGUAGAGAAUACCAAGGCGCUUGAGAGAACUCGGGUGAAGGAACUAGGCAAAAUGGUGCCGUAACUUCGGGAGAAGGCACGCUGAUAUGUAGGUGAAGCCCCUGCGGGUGGAGCUGAAAUCAGUCGAAGAUACCAGCUGGCUGCAACUGUUUAUUAAAAACACAGCACUGUGCAAACACGAAAGUGGACGUAUACGGUGUGACGCCUGCCCGGUGCCGGAAGGUUAAUUGAUGGGGUUAGCGGCAACGCGAAGCUCUUGAUCGAAGCCCCGGUAAACGGCGGCCGUAACUAUAACGGUCCUAAGGUAGCGAAAUUCCUUGUCGGGUAAGUUCCGACCUGCACGAAUGGCGUAAUGAUGGCCAGGCUGUCUCCACCCGAGACUCAGUGAAAUUGAACUCGCUGUGAAGAUGCAGUGUACCCGCGGCAAGACGGAAAGACCCCGUGAACCUUUACUAUAGCUUGACACUGAACACUGGUCCUUGAUGUGUAGGAUAGGUGGGAGGCUUUGAAGCGUGGACGCCAGUCUGCGUGGAGCCAUCCUUGAAAUACCACCCUUUAAUGGCUGGUGUUCUAACGUAGACCCGUAAUCCGGGUUGCGGACAGUGUCUGGUGGGUAGUUUGACUGGGGCGGUCUCCUCCCAAAGAGUAACGGAGGAGCACGAAGGUUAGCUAAUCCUGGUCGGACAUCAGGAGGUUAGUGCAAUGGCAUAAGCUAGCUUGACUGCGAGAGUGACGGCUCGAGCAGGUGCGAAAGCAGGUCAUAGUGAUCCGGUGGUUCUGAAUGGAAGGGCCAUCGCUCAACGGAUAAAAGGUACUCCGGGGAUAACAGGCUGAUACCGCCCAAGAGUUCAUAUCGACGGCGGUGUUUGGCACCUCGAUGUCGGCUCAUCACAUCCUGGGGCUGAAGUAGGUCCCAAGGGUAUGGCUGUUCGCCAUUUAAAGUGGUACGCGAGCUGGGUUUAGAACGUCGUGAGACAGUUCGGUCCCUAUCUGCCGUGGGCGCUGGAGAAUUGAGGGGAGCUGCUCCUAGUACGAGAGGACCGGAGUGGACGCAUCACUGGUGUUCGGGUUGUCAUGCCAAUGGCACUGCCCGGUAGCUAAAUGCGGAAAAGAUAAGUGCUGAAAGCAUCUAAGCACGAAACUUGCCCCGAGAUGAGUUCUCCCUGACUCUUUAAGAGUCCUGAAGGAACGUUGAAGACGACGACGUUGAUAGGUCGGGUGUGUAAGCGCAGCGAUGCGUUGAGCUAACCGAUACUAAUGAACCGUGAGGCUUAACCUUACAACGCCGAAGGUGUUU
rnacentral:rRNA from 1 species